UACGGAGGGUGCAAGCGUUAAUCGGAAUUACUGGGCGUAAAGCGCGCGUAGGCGGCUUGAUAAGUCGAUUGUGAAAUCCCCGGGCUCAACCUGGGAAUUGCAGUCGAUACUGCCAAGCUAGAGUGUGGGAGAGGGUGGUGGAAUUCCCGGUGUAGCGGUGAAAUGCGUAGAUAUCGGGAGGAACAUCAGUGGCGAAGGCGACCGCCUGGCCCAACACUGACGCUGAGGUGCGAAAGCGUGGGUAGCAAACAGG
rnacentral:rRNA from 1 species